rnacentral:rRNA from 1 species
GAUGAACGCUGGCGGCGUGCCUAAUACAUGCAAGUCGAGCGAACGGACGAGAAGCUUGCUUCUCUGAUGUUAGCGGCGGACGGGUGAGUAACACGUGGAUAACCUACCUAUAAGACUGGGAUAACUUCGGGAAACCGGAGCUAAUACCGGAUAAUAUUUUGAACCGCAUGGUUCAAAAGUGAAAGACGGUCUUGCUGUCACUUAUAGAUGGAUCCGCGCUGCAUUAGCUAGUUGGUAAGGUAACGGCUUACCAAGGCAACGAUGCAUAGCCGACCUGAGAGGGUGAUCGGCCACACUGGAACUGAGACACGGUCCAGACUCCUACGGGAGGCAGCAGUAGGGAAUCUUCCGCAAUGGGCGAAAGCCUGACGGAGCAACGCCGCGUGAGUGAUGAAGGUCUUCGGAUCGUAAAACUCUGUUAUUAGGGAAGAACAUAUGUGUAAGUAACUGUGCACAUCUUGACGGUACCUAAUCAGAAAGCCACGGCUAACUACGUGCCAGCAGCCGCGGUAAUACGUAGGUGGCAAGCGUUAUCCGAAAUUAUUGGGCGUAAAGCGCGCGUAGGCGGUUUUUUAAGUCUGAUGUGAAAGCCCACGGCUCAACCGUGGAGGGUCAUUGGAAACUGGAAAACUUGAGUGCAGAAGAGGAAAGUGGAAUUCCAUGUGUAGCGGUGAAAUGCGCAGAGAUAUGGAGGAACACCAGUGGCGAAGGCGACUUUCUGGUCUGUAACUGACGCUGAUGUGCGAAAGCGUGGGGAUCAAACAGGAUUAGAUACCCUGGUAGUCCACGCCGUAAACGAUGAGUGCUAAGUGUUAGGGGGUUUCCGCCCCUUAGUGCUGCAGCUAACGCAUUAAGCACUCCGCCUGGGGAGUACGACCGCAAGGUUGAAACUCAAAGGAAUUGACGGGGACCCGCACAAGCGGUGGAGCAUGUGGUUUAAUUCGAAGCAACGCGAAGAACCUUACCAAAUCUUGACAUCCUUUGACAACUCUAGAGAUAGAGCCUUCCCCUUCGGGGGACAAAGUGACAGGUGGUGCAUGGUUGUCGUCAGCCCGUGUCGUGAGAUGUUGGGUUAAGUCCCGCAACGAGCGCAACCCUUAAGCUUAGUUGCCAUCAUUAAGUUGGGCACUCUAAGUUGACUGCCGGUGACAAACCGGAGGAAGGUGGGGAUGACGUCAAAUCAUCAUGCCCCUUAUGAUUUGGGCUACACACGUGCUACAAUGGACAAUACAAAGGGCAGCGAAACCGCGAGGUCAAGCAAAUCCCAUAAAGUUGUUCUCAGUUCGGAUUGUAGUCUGCAACUCGACUACAUGAAGCUGGAAUCGCUAGUAAUCGUAGAUCAGCAUGCUACGGUGAAUACGUUCCCGGGUCU